CGCCUGUUUAUCAAAAACAUGUCCUUUUGUUAUCAAAUAAAGGUCUACCCUGCCCAAUGAUUUAAUUUAAUGGCCGCGGUAUAUUAACUGUGCUAAGGUAGCAUAAUCAUUUGUCUUUUAAUUAAAGGCUAGAAUGAACGGUUGGACGAGGUAUUUUCUUUCUUUAAUUUAAUUAAUGAAUUUAAUUUUUUAGUUAAAAAGCUAAAAUAUAUUUGGAGGACGAGAAGACCCUAUAGAUCUUUAUAUUUUACUUUAUUAUAUAUUAUAGUGAUAUAAAUUGUUUUAAUAAUUUAAGGUAUUUAAUUGGGGUGAUUUUAGAAUUUAAAUUAACUUCUAUUUUUUUAAUUCAGAAAUUAAUGUUUUUUUGAUCCAGUAUUACUGAUUAAAAGAUUAAGUUACCUUAGGGAUAACAGCGUAAUUCUUUCGGAGAGCUCUUAUCGAUGAAGGAGUUUGCGACCUCGAUGUUGGAUUAAAAUAAGUUUUAGGUGUAGAAGCUUAAAAACUAGGUCUGUUCGACCUUUAAUUUUUUACAUGAUCUGAGUUCAAACCGGAG
rnacentral:rRNA from 1 species